rnacentral:rRNA from 1 species
UACGAAGGGGGCUAGCGUUGCUCGGAAUUACUGGGCGUAAAGCGUGCGCAGGCGGUGAUGUAAGACAGUUGUGAAAUCCCCGGGCUCAACCUGGGAACUGCAUCUGUGACUGCAUCGCUGGAGUGCGGCAGAGGGGGAUGGAAUUCCGCGUGUAGCAGUGAAAUGCGUAGAUAUGCGGAGGAACACCGAUGGCGAAGGCAAUCCCCUGGGCCUGCAC